CAGAAAUCAAGAGUUGGAUGCUUGACCAACUGAGCCACCCAGGCACCCCAGACUCCUUAUUUUAAAAUGAGGCAGACACAAUUUAUUCAGUUCAAAACCACUUGUGAUCUAGUAAGAGAAAUGAGAGGAAUUCACAACUAAGAGUAAAAUAAUGUGGAACCUGAAAAGUGCCUUGGAAGGUGUUCAGAGUGUCUUCUGACACUGGACAGACACAAACUCCACGUCCCUCUAGUCCUCCCAGUUCCUGAUACUGCAGAAGAUGCAUUCGUGGGUGCACCAAAAGCCACGGACCAGAAUGUUCACAGCAGCACUGGAAAGUGGCCAAAUGCCCAUCAACAGUGCAGUGAAGAAUGAGCCAUGAUAAUAGUCACACGACGCGAUACAAUACAGCAACGAGAAUGAACGGUACAGUGAGUCCCACAAACAACCCUGAGGAAACAUGAACGAAGCAAGAGUACUCUUGGAUUCCAUCCAGAGGAAUAGAAACAGGGUGAACUAAGCCAUACAGCUGGAAGUCUGGACGGUGGCUACCCUUGGGAAGGAAGAGGUCCUGGAUGGAUUGGGAUUUAGAGACAGGAACUGGGCUUUGCCCCCAGGUGGUUGGGAGAAAGCAUGGAACUGGAGGCUGAAUCUGAGAGGCUGUCCUCCGGUCCCCACCGGUCUGGCCGGGAUGUCCUGUGUGCUCAGCAAGCUGGGAGCUUCCUGCCUUGCCUGGGGCCCUUCUGUCCCGAUACCCCAGCUGACGAGAACACCCUGCCAUAGCCCUGGGCGGGGCUCCACGGAUGGAUCAUUUCACUCCCCCAGACCUGACUCUGCCUACUGGCAACGGAAUCCACAGCUCGCUGACAACCCUGUGUGUGCGAAGUAGGGGGACCAUUGGAGCGUGCAGUGGCACCCCCCUGAAUAUGUGCCUGCAGAGGGGCAUUGCCUCGGCUGCUCUUUUCCCAGGAGGAGGGGUUCCUGGCAGUGGCGGCUAGGUUGCCCUCCCUGAGGAUCCCCCAGCUGAUCGGAAGCAGCGGGAUGCCCUCACGUCUCUGCUAAGUGCUGUUUCCCAAGCCGUGAUCAUCUGAACAUGCUGGAGAGGAAGGGGCAGGCUUCUCUUCCUGGGGUUCCCUAUGUGAGCAUACGUGAUUCAAAUAAAAUAAUAAAAUAAAAUGCAAUUAAAAAAAAAAGAAAAAAAGAUGCUUUGUCCAGACCCUUGGUUGCACGUGAGAGAAAACCAAACCCCAAGUGGUGUAAAAGGGAAUUCAGUCAUGUAACUGAAAACUUCAAGUCACAAUCAUUAUAUAUUGUCACGAGCAUUUCUUCAGAUAGGUCACAGUCAUCUGUGCUUGUAGAAAGGAUGGUACCCAGAGCCCUUGAGGACAAGGCACGCUGAUCUCCUGGGCAGUUGCAUGUUUUACCUCCCCUAGUAGACAUGGAUUGCCUCCUUUACGCAGCACCUUACUCCCUCUCUCAUGGGAACAUUUCCCUCACCUCCCACUCCCCGUUUGCUCAUCCUGCUCCCAUUCUGUCUCCUGUUUUGGGUGGAGCAGACUUUAUCCCACGCUCCAGAAGUAGGCAUGUGGUCCAAGUAUGGCCAAUCAGAACAUUGUGUAAACUCCCCGCCACAGGGAUUGGGUCCAUGCUGGGCAUGUGACCCAAACCAAGCUGAUCAGGUCUAGCUGGAGUGAACCUUGCCUGUUGGCUUGUGUGGUCAGAGCAGAGAAUGGUCUCCUUUUCACCAGACUUUGAGGUGUUGGCAGCCAUCUUGCAACCAUGAGGCAGAGCUGGUCUGAGAUUAACACCACCACGGGUGGAAACAACAGGAGGUAGAAGCCAGGUCCUGAUGCUGUUGAUCCCACUUCCCGGAUCCACGUGUGUCUGAAGCAAGGCUACCUCUGGGUGAACAAAUAACUGCUCUUAAGCUCCUUUUUUGCACCAGUUGAGGCUGGGUCUUUGUCACAUGCAACCAAAAGCAUCUUGACUAAGCGUCUCAAUUUUAUAUUUUAAUUACUUUUCUGAAGUGUGAUCCCAUGUCAUUUCCUCCUUAAAUAAAGGAUGCUCGAUAUAA